UACGAAGGGGGCUAGCGUUGUUCGGAAUUACUGGGCGUAAAGCGUGCGCAGGCGGUCUUCCAAGUCAGUGGUGAAAGCCCGGAGCUCAACUCCGGAAUUGCCAUUGAAACUGUGAGGCUUGAGGACGAGAGAGGUGAGUGGAAUUCCCAGUGUAGAGGUGAAAUUCGUAGAUAUUGGGAAGAACACCGGUGGCGAAGGCGGCUCACUGGCUCGUUUCUGACGCUCAUGCACGACAGCGUGGGGAUCAAACAGG
rnacentral:rRNA from 1 species